GCGGCGGUGCUGGGCCAGGGGAAGGAAGGGACACGGAGGCCGCCCUCGCCCCGCCACCUCCUACCAGCUUCCCCCCAGCCCCGGCUCCGGGAGAUGUGCCGGGCGGGGGGCCCGGGUUCGCCGAGCCGCAGGAGAGACACGCUGGGCCGACCCCAGAGCGGCGCUGGACAGGAAAACAUUUAAAGUUGAUGAUAUGUUAUCAAAAGUAGAGAAAAUGAAAGGAGAGCAAGAAUCUCAUAGAAAAAGAGGAAUCCAGUCGGGCUCGGUGGCUCACACCUAUAAUCCCA
rnacentral:lncRNA from 10 species